CCCCUGGACCGGUAGUUCCUCCAUUGGGAGAAGAGAGCCCAGAGUGAACAUCCAGUGCCUUCACCUUGUCCAACCAGCUCUUAUAGAACAAAGGAUCCAGGUACCUGGAUUGGGUCCUCCUUGGUUUAGCUCCUGGUGGACACAUGGACUCUUCUUCUCCUCAUCCAAUCCACCUGCUUCAGGCAUCUGUGCUUGUCCGUCACUUUCCCCACAAGCUGUGCUGGAACAGAGCACAAAGAGCUACUUGAAGAUGGACUUCUAGCAUGGAUCUGUAUAGUAAAGAAGAAGUUUCUUACAUCUGAUCUUGAGAUUUUAUGUAAGGAAGAAAUAAAACACGAAAGGGUGAAGACAUGCCUAUCAUAUAUCCCCUGGAACAUGUUGGAAGACA